AUACCGCCAUGCUGGAUGAGGGCAGAGGCCCCCGGGCUAGAAGGUGCUUGAAAGUUAAGGUCAUCUUAUUCCCUCUUUCCCAGAACAUAAGACCUAGCUGGAAAAUAAUAAGCCUUGAAAACCAGAGAUCAAAAAUGCCAGCCCCAAUCAGUCCAUCUUGGCCUUAUCUGCUACCACUGUUCUCAUGCUCGGUGGCUACUCUGUAAGGUAAAUUUCACCAAGGACUUCAAAAGCAAAUGAAGGAUUCUUUUAAAUGCUGGAGACUGAACUGAAAGCCUUGAGAAUUCCAGGUAAGUGCUCUACCUACUAAGGAAUACAGAGUGACAACCUCCGAAAACGUAAGGUUUUUACAAAGCCUGAAGAUGGUGUGUCGGGCUCACUGGCACAGCACGUGCCCGCCAUGCUCAAGGCCCUAAGCUCAAUGCCCACCACUAUAAAAUAAAUAAGUAAAUACAGACGGCAAUCAACAGAAAAACAAAGCUGCAAAUCUAGAUCUAAUGGGAAACAGAGGUCAGUUUUCUUAUAAAAAAAUGAAUUAUUCAACCCUUGGCACGCGUGUGUGCGCACACACACACACAAAAUUUUAGCAAACUUCUUUGCUGAUAGUGGAAGCAGUAAGAUAUAUCCGUUAUUUUUAUUCUAAUUCAAUUUUGUAUUUCUGCUGAAAUACGUGAUUCUAACAUGACUUCAGAUAAUUUUUUAGUCCUUUCAGACCUCUUUUAAAGUCUCCGUUUAGCCAUUUUGUGAGAUAUUAUUUUCAGAAAAAGUAAAACACAGAGGACUAAUUAUUGUUUGAUUUGUGCUUAAUUUCUACACUCAGAUUUUGAAGAUGACAGGGGAAAUGCAUAUUUAACAUUUACAUUUCAGAACAGCACUUGCUAACACAGGAGUAGUGUAUGCUGCCAUGAGGCCCAUUACUUACAACACUAACAACAUUCAACAAAAUAAAUAAUCAACUUAAAAACUUUCACACUUGGAGCCUCUACUGGAAGGACUAUGAACACAACAAAGUAGAAAAUAGUUUUUAUUUCAAAACUGCCUAAAGCUUCUUACAUCUUCCGAUUUACUCCAGCAUUUUUAAGCUAGAAGAUCUAUCAACGUUUUCAGUCAAUCUACUUUCAGGAAUGUAAACUUAAUCAAUGUCCCUCAGAAAAAUUUGCCAGACAUACACUGAGCUCUUCUGAAAAGUACCACUGGUACCACUUUAACCUCCUUUAAUAGCUUAACCUUUGGAACUUGUCUCUUUGAGUCAGAAAAUUAUGACUGACCUCUCAAUUUGUUAUCUCUGAUACUUUUUGUUCAGAUGCUUUACUUAUGAAAUUACUAUAAAUAAACCAAACAGAUAGUACCCUCAUCAAAUUUAUCAUUUUUAAGAAUUUUGUGAUGGAGUCCCCUGGACUAUUUAAUAUUGGUUUUCCAUCAUCCCUUUCUCAUUGGCUAAUGUAUUUUUCCCUUUCUUACAACAGGAAGUGAAAUGGAACUGAUCUAGUUGCCACUUCCUGCCUGUUACCGGUCUGCAUGCCAGUGUGUCUGAGGUGGUGCCUGGCUUUUGUCCUAAGCUUUCCGUUUUGUUUAUACUGGCACUCCAUAAUUACUUUGAACCUUAAAGCCGAACAGAUAAUAUUCUGAAUCACUAAUCUGCCAUGAAGACACAUGAAAAAGACUAAGUGACCUGUUUCAGUGCAGUGCUGGCUUGCGACCCUUCCAACUGGUACCGCGCUGCUUUUGCAACACUCUUUAUGGCUUUGCAGCUAUUCUUCCUUCUUUUCAUUUCCCUCUAAAAGAACUGCAUAUACUUCUGGUGCUUGGAACUGUAGAACAAAUGUAUUUCAGCUGGUAACAAUCAUACAGUCAAGCAGCACAUAACAUUACAAAGGGUUUUAAUAAUCUCAAGUAAGUCUGUUCACAGGGACUAUCUAUUAGUGAAGUCACUCCAAGCAGGCCAUUAGUCACUGAUAUUAUAAUCAACAGCCACACUUAUAGGCACUGCUAACAAAGGAAGCUCAACAUAACAUUUCUCAAAGGAAUUAAGACAGGCCAGGUCUCAGAAUAGCUCAGCCACAGCUAGUACUGGGCUCACAAUGAAACACAACACAGUGGGAUUGCUGAUGGCUUGAAGCUUCCUUGUAAUUCUGGUGACUACAAAUCAAGCAUUUAACAAUGUGAACAACUAAGUGAAGGAAUGCACGAAGCCACAAAUAAAUAUACUGCUAAACCAAACAAGGACCCCGGUGAAUGCAAGCAGAUGGCCCACUGGACUUGGCGUCUCCUUAUCUGAAUGUAAUACCUAGCAACCUGCAAUCCUGUCACUGUGUAGGUUUUAGUCUGGGAGGCCUGUUCCAUGAGAAGGUCUUAUGUGUGAAUAUUUUGCCUACAUUUGACCAGGGAGGAAGAGAUGCUUUGACUCAUGGGAGGAACAAAGGAAUGGUCAGCAGUUAUUUGGGUGUACUCCAUUCAGUGUUCUUUUGAAAAAGAUAAGCAUACAUUUAAUUAUAAUACCCUAGUCACUACACAUAAAGAGGAUAUACAUUGCAAAGUGGGAAAUACAAACAGGCACAGAUGGGUAAAUAUUGUUAAGGUAGCUCAUUUUAACACGCAGGACUGUCUAACCUGUCUGCCUACACACCAAAUGCCCUCCAGUGCACAGAGACUCAUAAUUAAACAACUCUGCAGCUGGGACUUGACUGUUCUGUGCUAUGGAAUUAUGACAGUGUUCACUGUGCUGGCAAAGAAAUGCCACACAAACUCCCUCCUUUGGUAGAGUGUUCCCUAUCACAUGACCUGCACAAGUCAUUCAAGAGGAAAACACAACUAUACACUUGGUUUGUAGGAGAUAUACUUUACGAUCAUCUUUUUUAAUUAGAUAGGAGAAACACUGUCAUUCAUAAUGACAGCCAGUGCUACAGGAAGCUAGACCUUGGGAGUCCUGAUAGACAUUCACUGGUCUGCUGAUGGUUGCCAUGCAUCUCUCCUAAUGGUGUUUUAAAAAGUUAACUAAUACCCCUGUGCCACAGAUAAAUACGUGCUUAUAAAAAGCCAACAGGACUGUUGUUGUUUCAGAGCCAAACUGUUGGGGAACCCCUGUGUGAGGCAGCCAGAAUCACAGCAGCAUAAUCUUGUCAGAUGCAGAAGCCGCAGACGCAGAGGGAUGAAUGUAACUGUAUCACGUAUUAUUAGCGUUUCCAGCAGCUCAGAGGGCUCCCUCACACUAAGUUACUUGAGUGAGAAGAUCUGGUUUGUCCUGCUCCUUCCAAAAACUGAGCUCUGUGUCUUUGAAUACAUUACUUGCCAUUGUUGCUUUAUUUUUUUCAUAAAAUAAAAUACAUUUCUAAGCAUUUCUUUCUCUAUAAAAGGAAAAUAAUAAUGCUUAUCUCAUCUCCUUCAGUUAUGAGAUAUAAUGAAAUAAAUGUAAAACUCCUUGAAAAGUAUACAAAAUAAAUUUAUUAUGCCUCUGGAGGGCUGACUGCAUAACAUGUGCCAGGAGUGUCAGCCACGCUACAUAUAUGAUCUUUGAUUCAAGCGGCUCAUGACAGUUUCAUAGCGGAAGACGGGAAAAGAAAAGGAAAGAGCUUGUCACUGUGAUUCGCCCAGGAAUCACUGCUGGCGCUGAGAUACCUGAAGAAGGACGAGUGAACCAGAGAGGAAGGGCCGACUAGGACCAGGCUGUAAAAGACAGGAGCAGUUCAAGGACAGCGGAGGAAGAGCCCGGCCAUCUGUAGAUGGGGGCUACGCUAUGGCUGAAGACCAUGGCAGGAGCAAGGCGAGGGCGGGAGGCAGGAGUCGGAGAAGAGUCCUCCGUAUGAUGACAUUUACUCCGCGGGGAAGGUGGGACUACUUAGCUAUUUAGGGGAGGAAAAGUCCAUGGUCACAAGAAGACUGCUUCGGUGGCCACCAGUGUCACCUCUGACACUCCAUAUUAUUAGGAUCUCUAUCUGGAUUAGCAAUGAGACUGGUGGCAGUGGCAAUGUCACCAGGGACCACGGGAAGAGCCACAUGCGAGAGGCACCCAGGAGACGGAAACAACAGGACCUGACUGACUGGAUGAGAUGCAGAAUAGUAAAACCCAUGGGCUUCGUU